AUGGACGCGGCGGAGAGGAGGCUAGCUCGCGUCACGGCUCACCUCCUGCCCUCCUCCCUCCCGCUCGCCUCUGCCCCUCUCCUCGCGCCGUCCCCCGCUGCUGGGUCGUCGUCGCCCGCCGGAGAUAGCUACCGGCGCGUACACGGCGAUGUCUCGUCGGAGCCUCCGGAGUGGCGCGCCGCGACGGACGAGGAUGGAAAGGGAUUCGUCGACAUCAUCUACGAGAAGUCCGUCGGAGAGGGCAUCGCCAAGAUCACAAUCAACCGUCCUGAUAGGAGAAACGCAUUCAGACCACUGACUGUCAAAGAGCUGAUGCGUGCCUUCAGCGAUGCUAGAGAUGAUAGUUCGAUUGGAGUUGUCAUACUGACAGGGAAUGGAUCCAAGGCAUUCUGUAGCGGCGGCGACCAAGCCUUGAGGGAUUCUGAUGGGUAUGUUGACUUUGAUAGCUUUGGCCGGCUCAACGUUCUAGACCUCCAGGUACAAAUUAGGCGCCUUCCAAAGCCAGUUAUAGCAAUGGUUGCUGGUUAUGCAGUUGGUGGUGGACAUGUUCUGCACAUGGUGUGUGAUCUAACAAUUGCAGCUGACAACGCGAUAUUUGGGCAGACUGGUCCAAAGGUUGGAAGCUUUGAUGCUGGCUAUGGCUCUUCCAUCAUGUCUCGAUUGGUUGGACCAAAGAAAGCCCGCGAGAUGUGGUUUCUGUCACGGUUCUAUGCCGCUGAAGAAGCAGAGAGAAUGGGACUCGUCAAUGUAGUUGUACCACUUGCUGAUUUGGAACGCGAAACUGUGAAAUGGUGCCGGCAAAUCUUAAGGAACAGUCCCACAGCCAUUCGGGUGUUGAAAUCUGCACUCAAUGCAGCUGAUGAUGGUCAUGCUGGUCUUCAGGAGCUCGGCGGGAAUGCGACAUUGAUCUUCUACGGUACUGAAGAGGCCAAAGAAGGAAAGAAUGCGUACAUGGAACGACGACGCCCUGAUUUCUCAAAGUUCCCCCGGAAACCAUGA
rnacentral:rRNA from 1 species